rnacentral:pre_miRNA from 1 species
UACACCAUGUUGGGCUGCAUCAGUUGUGCCAUGUUAUGAAAGCUAACGCAGUGUGACUGGUGCAGGCUGACAAGAUGUGU